CCAAGGUUACCAGAGUCCUGACUGUUCAAGAAAACCUGGAAGUCAGGAUUUUAUACACAACCAUUUAAUAUUUUUUGAAGUGAUAUUCACAUAACAUAAAGUUAACUAUUUUAAACUGAAUAAUUCAAUGGCAUUUAGUACAUCGUUCAACCACCAUCUCUAUCUAGUCCCAAAACAUUUUAAUCACUCCAAAAUAAACCUACCCAUCAGGCAGUUUCUCACCAUUCCUCCCCACCUCCACCUGGCAAACACCAACCUGCAUUCUGUCUCUAUGGAUUCACCUAUUCUGGACAUUUCAUACAAAAGGAAUACAGGAUAUGUGACUUUCACAUCUGGAUUCUUUCAGGUAGCACAGGUUUUGAAAGUUCAUCCUCAGUGUAGCAUGUAUCAGUGCUUCAUUACUUUUUCAGGCUGAAUUAUACUGCAUUGUUUGCAUAUCCCACCAUUUGCUUAUCCAUUCUUUCUUUGAUGGACAUUUGUGCUGUUCCUACCUUUUGGCUAUGUGAUCAUGUUGCUGCUGUGAACAUUCAGGUUCAAGGAUUUGCUUGAGUACCUGUUUCAAUUCUUUUGGGCGUAUACCUGUGACUGGAAUUGCUGGAUCAUAGGAUAAUUCUAUGUUUCACUGUUUGAAGAAUCGCCAAACUGUUUUCCACAGCAGCCGAAUCAUUUUACAUGCCCACCAGCAACUUAUGAGGGUUCCAAUUUCUCCAUGGAAUGAAUCACACCCAUUGAACACCAUGGAGGAAUCACACCCUUGAACACCAUCCUCAUCUCCCCCAUGGUGGAGGCCCCUCCCCAUCUCCCCCUUCUCCAAGUCUGUGUGUGCCACACUGAUCACAGUGUCCUUGUGAUAUGUGUCAGUACAGUCCUGUCCUAUGUCCCCAUUAAAUGCAAGACCAUGGCCAAUGCUGGGUCUCAGUUUCCUCAUACAGAUGGAGGAUGUUCUUCCUGUCACAUAGGCUGGGCUGAGGCCAGAGAUCCCGGGGUGAGCACCUGGUGCUCCUGACACACAGCAAGCUCUCACCAGUGUGUUAUUUCCCCACAUCGACCCGAGGCCUGUUCCCCAGGGUCUGAAGGGCAAGUUUCCUUGUGAUCACUCCAGGUGGGGAGUGUGCACCAUCCCUGUGAUCAAUGGAAAGCACUUGUGUUAAUUUAUAAACCUGGGCACAGAGCAGCAGGAGACAUGGAGCGGUUCUGUGUAAAGUCCACAAGUGAUUCUGAAUAUUCGUUUAUUUAAUCUUUUCUCAAUUUAUUUCUACCACGUAUACCUCUAAAUAUGUGUCCUUUCUUAAAUUUAUACAGUGCUAACAGAUGUUUUAAAAUUUAUGUUUCUGAGCAUUUACUGAAUCAAGCAGCCAUGUGCCCCCCGCCCAGUCUACUGACCUGAGCGCAGGUCUACCGUGUUGAGCAGCACACUCUCUGAGCCUCAGAUCCCCUGUUUAGAGAUGGUGAACUCUCCACUCAGAGGUGAGAACACUCUGCAGAAACGCUCUAGCUACGUUCAUUAGUUUUGGAAAACCACAGAAGAAAUGCCCCUGAGAGCCCAGGGGAGAGAGAAAUGGACGACGAAGCUAGAAGGAAAUUCCACAUCUCUGAGAUGAAGAGAAGACACUAAGGCACAAAUAAAUACAUAAAUAAGCGUUAUGAUCCCUAAGAUUGGAAAUGAUGUGAAGAGUAAACACAUCAGAACCAUUAAAGAGAUGUGCCAGAUGCAAAUAAGAAAGAAGCCCCAACCUUGGCAGAAGAGGAAGUUCAAGGAAACGUGGGCUCCGGCUCUGAGCCCGGGAACGCAGGAUCACAGGGCGGCAGCUGAACCUGUGCAGGAGGCGAGCUCAGCGCGGUCGUGAAGGCACCUUCGCCUGCUGUCCCGACUCCUGUCCUAUGACAAGAGCUGCUCUGACUAACGCACACACAGGCCUGCAGCCGUCACACACCACCCCGCGUCUCAGUGGCUUAAAACCACUGUGCGUUUCUCACCCGCGCCUCACGUCCCUCCUGGACUGACAGCGGUGCUCCGCUCGGCACGGGCUCCAGGACGCAGGCUGCUGCGGCCAGUCACCACGCCACUGGGAGGGGGGUGCGGAGGAGCUGGACAAGGAAGUCAGAAGUGCCUCGGGCCGCCUCGAGUCAGCAACCCCAUCGUCCCAGGCGAGCUUUGCGUGUCAUUAGGCAGCAUCCCUGGUUUCCAGAUCGAGUGGAGAAGCACAGGCUGUCUGACACCUCACGAAGUCUGUGGAUGACUCACCAGCUUCGGAGUUCACAGAGCAGGUUAAAAUUUCAAAUUCCCUCAGAGCCUCCAGACGUUCUGGAGCUCAGUAUGUUUUAUCUUCAAUCAACGCACAAACCCCGCAUCUUCACGCGGAGACACUCAGGCCUCAGGCUUCCAACUACGAAAGCACCACCUUGAGGAGGACGUCACGGUGGACCCGGAGAGGCGCUGGCCCGUGGCUGGGCUGUGGGGAGACUGGUGGGAAUCCACGGGACAAGGGGCGGGAUGGCCAAGCUCUGCCCGGGACAGUCCGGGUGGCCUUAGUCCGCGGGUCUCCAGCUCUGUCCAGGACUGUCCGGGUGGCCUCAGUCCCGUGGGUCUCAUGCUCUGGCUGAGGUCGGCGGGUCUGGAAGCCGCAGGUCCAGGACCGGAAGUCAGGAGGAAAGGCCACAGGCCACGUCCCCGCCUCUCCUCCCGUCAGGGUCUCUGUUUGGGGCAGCCGGGGCCUCGGGACAGUGACCUAGACUCCCUGUAGGACACCGGGAGUGGCCUCCAGCAUCCCCCUCUUCUUCCAGGAGCCCCCAGCUUUCAUCAGGAAUCCGCCAUCCCCCCAUCCCACCCAGACCAGUGAUCCUGGAUGGGCUCCCUUGGCUCCAGGGGGCGCUGUGAUCUCGUCAGUUCAAGCGAAGGUGGGCCCUGGCUGCAGUGAUUGGUUCAGGGAUGUCACAUGACCUGGGUGUGUCCAAUCAGAGUGAAGGUCUGGACUUGCCUGCCAGCCAACAGGAAAGGUUCUUACACUAUCCACUGGCUGUGUCCUGACUGCCGGGAUUGGUUCAGGGACGUCAUAUGACCUCCGCCUGUCCAAUCAGAGUGAGUGUCAGGAGCAGCCAGGCUAACAGGAAAGCCUUGGCCGUGAGAGGAGGUGAGGACGGCGCUCCGCCACCAUCUUGUCGCCGUCGAGGGGCCUAGAGGUGUCAGAUGAGAGAGAUGGGGUCCCGUUCAUGAAGCCAGACGGCCGAGGUGCAAACCAGAGUCCGUGACGUCGUGGAGCCCUGGAUCUGGGGUCCCGAGGGGCCUGCCCACCGCUGCCCCGGCCCGCGGAGCGGACGCAGCCGUCUCUCAGCCGGUGGGCGGCCGAGGGCCUGUCGUCGCCGCGAGCUACGCCUGGUCGGAGGGCGGCUUGGCCUCGAGAGCAGCCCCGCCGAGGCCCGGCCCCAGAAGACAGGGCAGGGCGGUGAGGCGGGCGGUGGGUACGGACGUCGCGGCGGCUCCUGCGGUCCCCGCGACCCAGGACGGCCCGAGGCCGGCGUGUCCGAGUCUCCGCCGGCCCACCUCUCUGC
rnacentral:lncRNA from 1 species